GAUGAACGCUGGCGGCGUGCCUAAUACAUGCAAGUCGAGCGAACGGACGAGAAGCUUGCUUUUCUGAUGUUAGCGGCGGACGGGUGAGUAACACGUGGAUAACCUACCUAUAAGACUGGGAUAACUUCGGGAAACCGGAGCUAAUACCGGAUAAUAUUUUGAACCGCAUGGUUCAAAAGCGAAAGACGGUCUUGCUGUCUCUUAUAGAUUGAUCCGCGCUGCAUUAGCUAGUUGGUAAGGUAACGGCUUACCAAGGCAACGAUGCAUAGCCGACCUGAGAGGGUGAUCGGCCACACUGGAACUGAGACACGGCCCAGACUCCUACGGGAGGCAGCAGUAGGGAAUCUUCCGCAAUGGGCGAAAGCCUGACGGAGCAACGCCGCGUGAGUGAUGAAGGUCUUCGGAUCGUAAAACUCUGUUAUUAGGGAAGAACAUAUGUUUAAGUAACUGUGCACAUCUUGACGGUACCUAAUCAGAAAGCCACGGCUAACUACGUG
rnacentral:rRNA from 1 species